GACGAACGCUGGCGGCGUGCUUAACACAUGCAAGUCGAACGGUGAAAGGGAGCUUGCUCCCUGGAUCAGUGGCGAACGGGUGAGUAACACGUGGGCAACCUGCCCCUGACUCUGGGAUAACGCUUCGAAAGAGGUGCUAAUACCGGAUACGAACUCCCUUGGCAUCUUGGGAGUUGGAAAGUUUUUCGGUCAGGGAUGGGCCCGCGGCCUAUCAGCUUGUUGGUGAGGUAACGGCUCACCAAGGCGACGACGGGUAGCCGGCCUGAGAGGGUGGCCGGCCACACUGGGACUGAGACACGGCCCAGACUCCUACGGGAGGCAGCAGUGGGGAAUAUUGCACAAUGGGCGCAAGCCUGAUGCAGCAACGCCGCGUGAGGGAUGACGGCCUUCGGGUUGUAAACCUCUUUUAGCAGGGAAGAAGCGAAAGUGACGGUACCUGCAGAAAAAGCACCGGCUAACUACGUGCCAGCAGCCGCCGUAACAC
rnacentral:rRNA from 1 species